AUCACUACUCAAGCCUGGCUUGCUGUUGGACCUUUUGUCGUUGAAAGACAGGCCCUAAAGAUAAUGAGGCGUCAGUUGGACCCUAAAUGCAACGAGCUUUAACCAGCACGCAUCUUAGCUGGACCUUUUGACCCGGUCUUUUUUGAACCAAUUUUUAAAAGGUUGACCUCGGAUCAGGUAGGAAUACCCGCUGAACUUAA
rnacentral:misc_RNA from 1 species